rnacentral:rRNA from 1 species
UACGAAGGGGGCUAGCGUUGCUCGGAAUCACUGGGCGUAAAGGGUGCGUAGGCGGGUCUUAAGUCAGGGGUGAAAUCCUGGAGCUCAACUCCAGAACUGCCUUUGAUACUGAAGAUCUUGAGUUCGGGAGAGGUGAGUGGAACUGCGAGUGUAGAGGUGAAAAUUCGUAGAUAUUCGCAAGAACACCAGUGGCGAAGGCGGCUCACUGGCCCGAUACUGACGCUGAGCACGGAAAGCGUGGGGAGCAAACAGG